AGAGUUUGAUCCUGGCUCAGGAUGAACGCUGGCGGCGUGGAUAAGGCAUGCAAGUCAAACGAUCCUUGUGUUUACAUAAGGGUAGUGGCAAACGGGGUAGUAACAGGUAGGAACAUACCCAUGAGUCAUGAAUAACUAUAGGAAACUAUAGCUAAUACAUGAUAUCCCUACGGGGGAAAGAUUUAUCGCUCAUGGAAUGGCCUGCUUCGUAUCAGCUAGUUGGUAGUGUAAUGGACUACCAAGGCUAUGACGCGUAGGGGAGCUGAGAGGCUGACCCCCACCAUUGGAACUGCGACACGGUCCAAACUCCUACGGGAGGCUGCAGUCGAGAAUCUUCCGCAAUGCACGAAAGUGUGACGGAGGGACGCCGCGUGAUGGAUGAAGUCCCUCGGGAUGUAAACAUCUUUUAUACGCGAAGUAAGUAUAUGACACUGGUGUAGAGU
rnacentral:rRNA from 1 species